UCACAUCCUGGGGCUGGAGAAGGUUCCAAGGGUUCGGCUGUUCGCCGAUUAAAGUGGCACGCGAGCUGGGUUCAGAACGUCGUGAGACAGUUCGGUCCCUAUCUGUGGUGGGCGUGGGAUGAUUGCGGGGAUCUGACCUUAGUACGAGAGGACCGGGUUGGACGCACCGCUGGCGGAUCGGUUGUCGUGCCCGCGGCACGGCCGAGUAGCUACGUGCGGAUUGGAUAAGCGCUGAAAGCAUCUAAGUGCGAAACCGGCCCCAAGAUGAGUCAUCCGUUAAUAAAGGCUGUGGGAGACGACCACGUUGAUAGGCGGCAGGUGGAGGUUCAGAAAUGGAUGGAGCCGAGCCGUACUAAUGAGCCUGUCAGGUUAGUGU
rnacentral:rRNA from 1 species